CUGACCUCAAAUCAGGUAGGACUACCCGCUGAACUUAAGCAUAUCAAUAAGCGGAGGAAAAGAAACUAACAAGGAUUCCCCUAGUAACUGCGAGUGAAGCGGGAAAAGCUCAAAUUUAAAAUCUGGCGGUUUCACCGUCCGAGUUGUAAUCUGGAGAAGCGUUUUCCGUGUCGGACCGUGUACAAGUCUCUUGGAACAGAGCGUCAUAGAGGGUGAGAAUCCCGUCUUUGACACGGACUGCCGAUGCUUUGUGAUACGCUCUCAAAGAGUCGAGUUGUUUGGGAAUGCAGCUCAAAAUGGGUGGUAAAUUCCAUCUAAAGCUAAAUAUUGGCGAGAGACCGAUAGCGAACAAGUACCGUGAGGGAAAGAUGAAAAGCACUUUGGAAAGAGAGUUAAACAGUACGUGAAAUUGUUGAAAGGGAAACGCUUGAAGUCAGUCGCGUUGUCCGGGACUCAGCCUUGCUUCUGCUUGGUGUACUUCCUGGUUGACGGGCCAACAUCGAUUUUGGUCGGCAGAUAAAGGUGGAGGGAAUGUGGCACUUUCGGGUGUGUUAUAGCCCUCUGUCGGAUGUGUCGACUGGGAUCGAGGAUCGCAGCA
rnacentral:rRNA from 1 species